rnacentral:misc_RNA from 1 species
AAAAGUCGUAACAAGGUUUCCGUAGGUGAACCUGCGGAAGGAUCAUUACCUUUUAUCGGGGAGCUGUAGUUUACUAUAUGCUCCUGUCUGGACCCAUGUCUAUUGCGUACUUAUGUUUCCUCGGCGGACUUGUUCCGCCGAUUGGACUCUUCAAAACCUUUUGUAAUUGUAAUCAGCGUCUGAGAAAUAUUUAAUAUUUACAACUUUCAACAACGGAUCUCUUGGUUCUGG